rnacentral:rRNA from 1 species
UACAGAGGUCUCAAGCGUUGUUCGGAUUCAUUGGGCGUAAAGGGCGCGUAGGCGGGCCGCAAAGUCAGGGGUGAAAGCCUCCAGCUCAACUGGAGAAGUGCCUCUGAUACUGGCGGCCUCGAGGGAGAUAGGGGCGUGCGGAACUUCCGGUGGAGCGGUGAAAUGCGUAGAUAUCGGAAGGAACACCGGUGGCGAAAGCGGCGCGCUGGAUCUCUUCUGACGCUGAGGCGCGAAAGCGUGGGGAGCAAACAGG